rnacentral:rRNA from 1 species
GACGAACGCUGGCGGCGUGCCUAAUACAUGCAAGUCGAACGCUUCUUUCCUCCCGAGUGCUUGCACUCAAUUGGAAAGAGGAGUGGAGGACGGGUGAGUAACACGUGGGUAACCUACCCAUCAGAGGGGGAUAACACUUGGAAACAGGUGCUAAUACCGCAUAACAGUUUAUGCCGCAUGGCAUCAGAGUGAAAGGCGCUUUCGGGUGUCGCUGAUGGAUGGACCCGCGGUGCAUUAGCUAGUUGGUGAGGUAACGGCUCACCAAGGCUACGAUGCAUAGCCGACCUGAGAGGGUGAUCGGCCACACUGGGACUGAGACACGGCCCAGACUCCUACGGGAGGCAGCAGUAGGGAAUCUUCGGCAAUGGACGAAAGUCUGACCGAGCAACGCCGCGUGAGUGAAGAAGGUUUUCGGAUCGUAAAACUCUGUUGUUAGAGAAGAACAAGGACGUUAGUAACUGAACGUCCCCUGACGGUAUCUAACCAGAAAGCCACGGCUAACUACGUG